rnacentral:rRNA from 1 species
CCUACGGGGGGCUGCAGUGGGGCAUAUUGGACAAUGGGGGCAACCCUGAUCCAGCCAUGCCGCGUGUGUGAAGAAGGCCCUCGGGUUGUAAAGCACUUUCAGUGAGGAAGAACGCCUGGUGGUUAAUACCCAUCAGGAAAGACAUCACUCACAGAAGAAGCACCGGCUAACUCCGUGCCAGCAGCCGCGGUAAUACGGAGGGUGCGAGCGUUAAUCGGAAUUACUGGGCGUAAAGCGCGCGUAGGUGGCUUGAUAAGCCGGUUGUGAAAGCCCCGGGCUCAACCUGGGAACGGCAUCCGGAACUGUCAAGCUAGAGUGCAGGAGAGGAAGGUAGAAUUCCCGGUGUAGCGGUGAAAUGCGUAGAGAUCGGGAGGAAUACCAGUGGCGAAGGCGGCCUUCUGGACUGACACUGACACUGAGGUGCGAAAGCGUGGGUAGCAAACAGGAUUAGAUACCCUAGUAGUC